GAGGAAGAGGAAGAGGAAAGAAGAGAAGGAAGAAAAGAUGCGUGGAAAAGCGGCCAGGGAAGACGGGCGUCCUCUGCCCUUGCUGGUCAGGAAAAUAUGUGCCUCUCCCAAGGCUGCAAGGCGAAGCAGGUGCAUUGGAGACUGUCAGCAGGUGCAGCAGUUCCUGGCAUGGAGAUGAAGUGAAGCUCUGGCUCUUGGGCUUUCAGCUAUGUAAACUCUGCCAAGAAAACCAAAGAGAACAAGCUGGCAAUUUUUAAAAAUGAUCCUUUUAAUGAGUCUUCUCUCCUCUGUGCAUGUAAUUGGCAACCGUCACAAAAGUCUGGGCAUCUUUAGUACCAAAGUGACAUUUUCUUUUCUCCUUCUGUUUUCCCAGGCUGGUACAACUUGGACAGUGUGAUUUCUGCUCACAUGUUUCUGGGAAGAGAGCACCCAAGGCUACUGGACACAACUGAAUAGCUAUUUUGUCCCUUUAAAAUCUUGGCAGGUGUGAGCCCCCUGUCAUCCUUAAUCACGAGUGUUGCCAAAAACGCCGAGGCCACACAAAUCCCAGGCUGCCCCCCCCUUACCUCUCUCUAUGUGUCAUUGUAAACCAAAUGACAUAUAAAUCACUUCAGUAAACCUUUUCAGUGAAAAUCCAAGAAUAAAUGGAAAUACCAAGUGUCUGAAAUCUGUUGGCCUGAACUGCUUGUUAUCCAGUUUACUGGGCCAGAAUGGUCAUUACUGUACUCUUCCAAUUUUGCAUAUGGAAGAAGGGCAUAUCUGUGUACUUAUCCUGUCCUUCCAAGCUGUUGUUGUUAUGUGCCUUUCAGCUGACUCUUGACUCAGCAACUCUGUCAAAGGAACUUUGGGGGGUGGGAAGGAUUUAUUCAGAGGAGAUUAAAAAUCAAUUCUGCCUAUGCUGUUGAUAGAACUCUAUGGCCAACUUCUGCAGAGGCAAGUGUGAAUAUUGCAAUUAAUCACCUUGAUUGGCAUUGAAUCUGCAAUUAAUUAGCAUUAAAGCUGCAAGGCUUUUUCAAUGCUCACUUGCCUCAAACAGACAAAAGUUCUUUCUCCCACCCUGGAGUUCCCACAGAUAUAUAAACCUCCCUGGCCUAGUUUCCAAUAUACCUCACAACCUCUGAGGAUGCCUGCCAUAGAUGUGGGUGAAAUGUCAGGAGAGAAUGCUUCUGGAACAUGGUAAUGCAGCCCAGAAAACUCACAGCAACCCCCCCCCCCAAAAAAAAAAACCAUGGCGUUCAGAGGCAUCUGGUGCUCCUAAUCCCUGCAAAAGUGGAAGGCCUUCUGUACUCCUUUCUUUUAUGCCAUUUUCCCAUUACAUGAUGGCAUGCCUGCAAACAUCUCAGCAAUUUUCUUCUUAGGCUUUGCCUCUUUAAUUUGAUCCAUGAGCCAUUGUGUUUGUCAAUUGGGGCCUUUCUGUAUGGAAACACCCAAUUUGUCAAGUACAAUAUUUCCUUCUUCAUGGUCUAUGCAAUUUCUUCAGACCUGCUUGUUCUUGAGACAACUAGCCACUUUCAUGUGAGUUGUCCAUAAAAUAUGGUUUAUCAGAUUAUAAAUAGCUUCUGCACUGACAAUGAAUGUAUUCCAGGAAACCUUGCAAAUGCUGCUCUUGAAGGGAGAGUAAGCAAUGCAAGGCAGCCCAGGCCAACUGCGUUGUGAGCCAAGGCAUGCAUCAUUAGAUUUUAUUUGAGGGCUUCCUCUGCCAUUUCAUUUUUUAAAAAUAAAAAAACCCUCCAACAGUAACUUUUGUAGGCUUCCAGUUCCCAGAACCUCCAAACAUAGUCUGGUGAACAGUUCAGUGUGGUCCAGAUAAACAUAAAGAAUGGCCAGUGCCUACUGGAAUAUAUUAUAUUGUAUUGUGUUGUGUUACUUCAUGCUUCUUCCAACAUAGGACCAAAUACAGCUAAUAAUGGUUAUAAUAAAAAGUUUAAAACUUUUAAAUAAAUUACCUCAUUUAAACCAGCACAAGUUCAAAAGUUUUAUAAGCAAAGAAAACAUAGUGAUAAUAGUAAAAGUACAACCACCCAACUAAUAGCCAAAUGCCUGUCUAUAUGGAAAGGUCUUUGUCUGCCAUCAGAAGUUGAGCAAAGAAGAGGCUGAUUCAGCUUCUUGUGGGAGAGAGUUCCGUGGUGUGGAAGCAGACACCAAGGGUAUUUCUACACUGGCCACUUAGAUUGGUGUGGAAAUGGAUCAGUCUCAUGGCAGCUAAACACUGCAAAGGGCUACUCAGGGUUAACAUUAAUGUGGCCUUGUCCCAGGUUAACCGAGGUCAGAGGAAAGGUCGAACCCUACCCCAGGAUUUGAGUUUUCCCCCGACUUAAGAGCUGUCAAAACAGUUGGAAGCAGCUGCAACUGUCUUGACUACCAUUCCACAUUCCCCAGGCUCUAGCAAUCCAGGAACACAGAAUGGCACUUCCUUAUGUCCUCCCCCCUACACACACCCCUGUGUUGUGGUGGGUCCCCAUUCACAACAGGAGACCUAUCUUCUUCUAGUGCACUGGAGAAGGGAAUGGGCAGGGGGAGAAGAGGGCUUUUCUUGUCUCUCCUCCUUUCUCUGUCAAAGAGCCAACACUCUGCCUGAUGUCAGGUAGAGAAGCAAAUAGCAAGCAGCUGCUAUGUCAUGGCCUAGGACCAGUGUAUGGUGGGGAGGGAAAUCUGUAGAGUGGUUGCCCAAUAGCAUUAAACUGUGUUCAAUGCAGCUGGUGGUAGGAACCCCUUUCACCUACAAAGUGGCUGACAGAGUCCCAGUGAAGACUCCAUGCUGACCAAUCUGGCACCCUAGACUCUGGAUCAGGCCCACAUUAGAUGUUCAAGAAAAUCCAUUCAGGUGACUUCACCAGACAUACCUAUGACCAUGGUGAGACCUAGAGAAAGUGACAUUCACUCUGUCUCUAAAUGCCAUAGCUAUCAGGAAGCAAAGUUGUAAUUGAUUAUGUCAUACAACUUAGAAUUUAAAAAAAACCAACUCCUAGGACCUCAUCACACUAGAGCAAAUAUUCACUUUAAAUUCCAUGGCUGCUUCCUGUAGGUUUAUAGAGUUUGUGGUUUAGGGAUAGGCUUUUGAACUGCUCAGCCAGAGAGAUCCUGGGACUCACCAAACUACAAACCCCAGAAUUCUGCAGGAGGCAGCCACAGAACUUAGUGAAUUAUGGCUUUAGCGUGAUGUGGUCCUAGAAACCUCCUAGCCAAUGGUGGGGGAGUGCUGGGAGUUAGGUCAUUCAAAAGGUCAUGUUCCCAAGCUCUGCCAGUAAGACAGAUGUGUGAAUUGGAAUUACAACUCCUAGAAUCCUCCAGCCUCUAGCCAGGCUCAAGGGAAGACUCUUGGAGUUGUUUUCCCAUAAAGUGCUACUUUUCUAAAAUCUUGUAAUUUUGCAAAGCAAUAUGCUGUUCAAAAAUAUCCCAACAUGGUAUAAAAAUACAUGCAUACCAAAAUUAUCCAUAUAUAUACAUACAUAUAUACAUACACACAUACAUAGAGAGGAAGGGAGGGAAGUACACAUCUCCCAACUCAUGUGACUCAUCUUGUUCCUCUACUCCUGAAACACAGCCAUGUCAUAGCCAGUGGAGAGCAAGAGAUGGUUGGAAAUGUGACUAGUUAGGCUUGGUUAUUUGACUAAUCAGACGCACAAUUGUGGAGUCAUCUUCAAACACUUCAAGAAAUCCCAGAAGAUGACUGCAUCACUGUGCAUUUCAUGAUAGUCACAUAGGCAGAGGACCUUAAGCAGUCUCCAUGCUAUACUUAUUACUAAGUGGCCAUGUAGAAAGCAUGAAAAAAGGAUUUGGACAUUAUGUGCAGGAGACAGAAUUGUGAUUUUUGCAAUGACCAAAAAAACACCAGGUACAUAAGUUGGAUAUAUUCCUAUAUAUAUAUGGCUAACAGGAUAGCAGUCAAUAUAAUUAGAUACUCAUAAGUAUAUUUAGGGGAAAGUUAUUUGAAACACACAUUUAUACAUGUAUAAAUGCACAUCUUUGACACACUUUGGGGUUUUUUUCAAUUGCUGUUUGAUAGAGAAGCAGGAUGGAAUGAUUUAUUAAUGGACACCAAUGAAAUUGCAAGCACUUCUACAUUGGCAUUAUAAUACAGAAUGGAACUGGCUUGGCAGAAACUGGUUUUGUUGUGCAGGUGAUCAGACUGCCAUGCCAGGAACUGGUUUAAGGCCAAGGUGAUGAUUACAUUGCACACAGGACCUCAAAUUGCUCUGCAGAUGUUUUGCCCUGUGUCUUGCAGAGAUGCACAUGAGUGCACCAAAGGCAUAAUGGUGAAAAAAAGGAAAGUUCUCCUCCCAGGGGAUCACUUAGCCCUCUGUUUCCCAACCAUGUCCUCACUGUGUUUUUUGGCAGCCUCCAUUCUUGAUUCUAUACUGCACUCCAGCAGGGAAGGAUAUUUAAAUGCACUCUAUCUUUUGUGGAGCUGAUUUUGAUAUAUCUGGGAUAUAUUGCAAUCUGCUCUAGCACAUUUUAUGGCUUGUUUUGGACAUUAGUGUUAUUUUUAAUGCACAUUGUAACGUGCAUUUGCAGCCACCAAAGUUUGGAGAGUUCUCACUGCAUUAAAUUGUUGUGUAGAUGUGGUCUGAGACAGACUAGAAAUGGGACUCUUCUCUCAAGCUUUACUGGAAAAUCACUAGCAAGUAAUAUUCUAGCAAACACCAAGCCUUGCUGUUAACACUUCCAGCCCUUGGGCUGUUCUUAUUUUUGAUUUCUUGGAAAUCAGAUUAAAUGUAUAUGCAUUUUACCAUAUCUGGAUCCUACUGUUUUCCCAAGAAGCCAAUAGAGCCAUGAAUGGUGGCAAUUCAUUCAAUCCAGAACUGAGAAAGGGGACUUUUUGGGACCACAGGACCUGCUGGCUAGAGGAUUCUCAGUCCAAACAAGUAACUUUUCCCAAUUCUGACUGAUAUAUAGAGACUGGUCAGGCUGAAAGACGGCAGGGACUUGCACAAAACCACCCACUGAGCUCAAGGCUGAGUGAAUGACUGAAUCAUAGGACAAACUCCAAGAAUUUAUGACUGGUUUUUGGAUCAUAGUACUAAUAGGUUUUCCUGGGAAAUAAAUGAUAUUGGUGUCCCCUUGCCGUAACUGUCACAGCAAAGGGCCAACUGUACAAAACUCUUGGGUAUUUUUAUAUUAUUAUUACUAUUUCUGCUCUCUUUGCACAUAUUCGUUAAUGAAUAUUUCUAUAGCAACUGACAGCUGUUGUCUUCUAAAUAAAAAGUGAAAUCAAAGUAUCUGUUAAGCAUUACUUUCUGGAUUUAAUUUACUUACUGCUACAAAAACAGAGUUUUGUAAGGGGAAAAAACAGCAACAAUCCAAGCAGUGAAAAGAAGCAGGUGACACAAACUGGAAGAUUGUACCUAAGAGGCUUCUGACAGGUAACAUAUGCAAGCAAGCCAAAGGUAUCACUAACGAGGAAAAGUCUGUCUCAUUGUGGUUCAUAUUGUUUUUAAGCCCGCCUCCUAAUCUCUCUAUACAUCAUAUGUUCUAAAGUUUUUCAGUACUUUACACAACCAUUACAUCAAGCAAUAGCUCCAUCCAAUGGAAUUCUGAUAUUUUGAAACUUGAUGAAAGACUUGCUAGAAUGUGAUAGGAAAGUAUCACAUUACACUCCACAAGCCAAGAGCAGCUUGUCCAUGAAGAAUUUCCAGGAGAGAAGAAGCCAUAGCCAAUAGGCAUAAAUAUGCUACUGAUCCCCGAAAUGCUGGAAAUAACCCCCUCCUCCUCCCUCCCAUCAAGAAGAACUGCUGUAGCACCCUUAUUGUGGAGCUACAUUGUGGAAUGGAUGCUGUUUCCCACCAACUAUAACUGUCAUGGCUCAAUGCUAUGAAACCCCAGGACCCCAAAACAAACCUUAAUAAUGGCACCCUCAAGAGCACUGAGACACAGUACCUUUGUGGCCUUUCCUCCAAAAACCCAGUCUCAGGCAACCUCCAGUCUGUAGCCACCAAGUUACACCAAGCACACCAGAGUGAAUACCAUUGUUUAUCCAAGUAGAAACCUUAAGCCAUUCACAAAGCCCCACAUACUUAACAAUAGAUCUGGACCAAAAGAUCACAGAAGUUAUUCAACAUCCAGACAAUCCUUAUCCAUAGGAACCCAUUCAGGUCAUGCCAACACUCUGGCUGUUCAGACAGCCAAGACCCGUUGUCGUACCUCAGGCAAACUGGAACCAAACUAUUAGCACUCAUUACCUCAAUCCUAAUCCACAUCCCUCCCUUUGCACACCCAUGAGGGGCAGAACAAGAAACAGCCACCAAACUUCAAAUUGAGCAAAUGAAAGUAUUACAGUUCUCUCCAGAUCUGGAAACCAAUCAACUGUAGCUCAAGACAGCGCACCAGAGUCAACCAGCACAUGGAUCCAGCUGGUUCCAAGAUAUGCACCCAGGACAGCAAAAGUCCUUGUUUCAAACUGUUAUCAAAGUCCUAUAAAUAUUUCUGUAUGUUUGCAUUGGGGUAUGUCAGUCUUUGGUGUGCAGACUCCACUGACAUCCACUUUGGCCGAGUGAAUAAAAGCCUCUGAUUCUUUUC